rnacentral:rRNA from 1 species
UACGGAGGGUGCGAGCGUUGUCCGGAAUCAUUGGGCGUAAAGGGCGCGUAGGUGGCCUGGUCAGUCAGUGGUGAAAGCGCGGGGCUCAACCCCGCGUCGGCCACUGAUACUUCCGGGCUGGAGCACUGUAGAGGCAGGCGGAAUUCCCGGGUGUAGCGGUGGAAUGCGUAGAGAUCCGGAAGAACACCGGUGGCGAAGGCGGCCUGCUGGGCGAGUUGCUGACACUGAGGCGCGACAGCGUGGGAGCAACAGG